AGCUUUCGGGACAGAAGGUAUGAAUACAAAGGACUUCACAAGGUUUGGAAAGGGAAGUUGUCAGAAGCCAAGGCUAGUGGAAAUUCUAUAAAAAUCCAGGAAGCACAAGGAUAUGGUAGUGCUUUAUGAUUCAUUACAACUUGCCCAUAAGUGUAUACUGAAUUCCUUCUAUGGUUACGUCAUGCGCAACUGAGUUUGGUGAUUUCCAUUUGGUUUAAUGUAUUAAUUGCAUGGAGCCUGUUGUUACAGUGGCUUCUGUGUUUGUGUUAUCUCUCAAACAUUUAUUUCUUCCAGGGGUGCAAGAUGGUACUCAAUGGAAAUGGCUGGAGUAGUUACGUAUAGAGGAGCAAAAAUAAUUCAGAAUGCUCGCGUAUUGGUUGAAAAAAUUGGAAAACCACUUGAAUUAGAUAGAGAUGGUAUCUGGUGUGUGCUCCCUGGAUCUUUUCCGGGGAACUUUACUUUCAAAACCAACCAAAUUUAAAUGCAUCAUCCAAGGUUUUCUUAAGUGAGCGUGCUGUUCCUGUUGCAAUAUUUGAAACUGAUGCUGAAAUAAUGGUUUCUUUUUGUGCGGAGAUGGUGCAAGUAAUACUCAGAUGUGGGCAUUCGAUCCAUUAUUGACUGGUCUUAUUACAAGCAAAGGCUUAGUUCAGCAAUUCAGAAAGUUAUUACCAUUCCUGCAGCAAUGCUUCAGGUUGCGAAUCCCGUCCCUAGAGGGUAGUACAUCCUGAUUGGCUGCAUAAGAAGGUUCGUGAGAAGGAGGACAAGUUUCGAGAACGCAAAUUACUUGAUAUCUUCAGCUCGUUGAACAGGGAUGAAUUUUUGAAAAAGAAUAGUGAUGCUGCUGGCGCCAAUGGUGUGAUGAAUGAAGAAAUUGUUAAAGACUUGGAGGACUUUGGAAACAA